AAUCCCAAAAAGUGCGUCGUAGUCCGGAUUGGAGUCUGCAACUCGACUCCAUGAAGUCGGAAUCGCUAGUAAUCGUGGAUCAGAAUGCCACGGUGAAUACGUUCCCGGGCCUUGUACACACCGCCCGUCACACCAUGGGAGUGGGCUGCAAAAGAAGUGGGUAGUUUAACCUUCGGGAGGACGCUCACCACUUUGUGGUUCAUGACUGGGGUGAAGUCGUAACAAGGUAGCGCUAGGGGAACCUGGCGCUGGAUCACCUCCUUA
rnacentral:rRNA from 1 species